GACGAACGCUGGCGGCGUGCUUAACACAUGCAAGUCGAGCGGUAAGGCCCUUUUGGGGGUACACGAGCGGCGAACGGGUGAGUAACACGUGGGUGACCUGCCCUCAGCUCUGGGAUAAGCCUGGGAAACUGGGUCUAAUACCGGAUAUGCACUGCUUAUCGCAUGGUGGGUGGUGGAAAGUCCUGUUCUGUAAUGGAUUGGGGCGGCUGGGGAUGGGCCCGCGGCCUAUCAGCNGUUGGUGGGGUGAUGGCCUACCAAGGCGACGACGGGUAGCCGGCCUGAGAGGGCGACCGGCCACACUGGGACUGAGACACGGCCCAGACUCCUACGGGAGGCAGCAGUGGGGAAUCUUGCGCAAUGGGCGAAAGCCUGACGCAGCGACGCCGCGUGAGGGAUGACGGCCUCGGUUGUAACC
rnacentral:rRNA from 1 species